rfam:Erinaceus europaeus unplaced genomic scaffold scaffold00478, whole genome shotgun sequence
GUUAGUGUGGCAGAGCCCGGUAAUUGCAUAAAAUUUAAGCUUUUAUAACCAGAGGUUCAAAUCCUCUCUCUAACA